rnacentral:lncRNA from 1 species
CUGGGCUCAAGUGAUCCUCCUGUCUUAGCCUUCCAAAGUGCUGGGAUUACAGGUGUGGGCCACCAUGCCCAGCCACCAUCUUGGUUUAAUUUCUUUCCUUGGAAAUGGAGCAAAGGGCUUUCACUCUUCUUUUUCAUGGCUGCAUAGUAUUCCAUAAUUGUUUAAACAAUUGAUAAUAGACACUGUAUCGGGGUGACUGGUAUACCCCCAAAAUCACAUCUGCCCAGAGCCUCAGGACAUGGCCUUGUUUGGAAAUGGUUUUAGCAGAUGCAGCUAAGAUGAGGUCACCCCGUGUUAGGAUGGCCCCGAAUCCAGUGCCUGGCACCCUUAUAAGGAGAGGGAAACUUGGACGCAGACAGGAAGGCCGGGUGAAGACAGAAGCAGAGACCGGGGGCCAAGGAGUGCCUGGGGUUGCCCAGAGCCACCACGGGCUGCAAGAGGUGUGGGACAGACUCUCUCAGCCACAGAAGGGCCCAGCCCCGCACAGGCCUGGAUUUCAGAGGGCGAACAUUUCUGUGGCCGAAGCUCCCAGUGCGUUUGCAGUCCUUGGAGACGGCCGCAGACACAUUUGUUCUUGGCCUGUCUCCAGGUCUGUAGCCCCCACAGUGAGCGGCCACUGGCCGGAGGGGAACAGGAAGAGCUGGAGGGGACGUCACACACAUGAGCCUUUUAGGAAUAACGAGUGACACGUGCAAGACCCCAAACCAAACACCAUGUAACCUGACACCCAGGGAGGGAGGGAGGGAGGGGCUGGGAGGGGCUCACCUGUAGGGAGGGGCUCACCUGUACAGCGGUGCUGGGAAGCUGGCCUCGAGGGUCCCCGAGGGGAUACAGGGCCGUGCAGCCUCUUGCCUGAGGGUUUGCAUGUCUGCCUGGAUCCCCCGGGCUCCUGCCAGAAGGCCUCUGAGGCCACCGUUGACAGCAUAAAGGCCACCCAGUGUCUCGGCAACCACGCUGACCACUCCCUCCUCCCAGCUGCGGGGUGAGGUGGCCUCGAGGGAAGGGCUGGAGAGUCGUUCUGAGUAUUUAACAACUGGGGGUGACACAGUGUGGGUGGGCAAGGCCAGGGCCACUGCCAGGUGGGGUCCGUGGCCCUGAGCCCCCAGCUCUAUGCACCCCCCACCUGGGGUCUGGCUUCUCCAUCUCCACACCCCCUUGAGGGGCUUCUGUCUCCCCCUGCCCCUUCGAUCGCAGGAGGCAGUGCCUGGCCGGGGUCGCAGGCACCUGUCACCCCAGCUCCUCACUCCUCACCCACUCACAUCCAGUCCGUUUGUAAAAUACACCCAGGAUGAGACCUGCACGCAGUGGCUCACAGCAGCACGAUUUGUGACAGCCCGAGGCGGAGAACACCGAACACCCAGUGAAGGUGAGGGGAUCAGCACGGCGCCGCCACCGUGCUGGAACGAGACUCAGCCACAAGGAGGUGCGAAGCUCUGACCCAGGCCACAGUGCGGAUGCACCUUGAGGAUGUCACGCUCAGUGAGAGACACCAGACACAGAAGGGUACGCUGUGAUCCCACUUCUAUGAAAUGUCCAGGACAGACCAAUCCACAGAAUCAGGGAGAGGAUUCGUGGGUGCCGGGACUGGGGAGGGGGACCUGGGGGUGACUAGGUGACAUAAUGGGGACAGGGCUGCCUUCUGGGUGAUGAGAAUGUUCUGGAAUCAGAUGGGAUGGCUGCACGGCGUGGUGAAGGUACUGAACGCCACCUCACUGUAAGACGGUAGAUUUUGUAUUUUACCACAAUAAACAAAACAAAACAAAACCAAA